GACGAACGCUGGCGGCGCGCUUAACACAUGCAAGUCGAACGGAAAGGCCUGCUUUCCCUUGUGGAUUGCGGGUACUCGCGUGGCGAACGGGUGAGUAACACGUGAGUGAUCUGCCCCCAACUUGGGUAUAAGCCUGGGAAACUGGGUCUAAUUCCCGAUAGGACUGCAGGGUGGUGCCUGUGGUGGAAAACGAUUUUCUAGUGGUUGGGGAUGAGCUCGCGGCCUAUCAGCUUGUUGGUGGGGUAAUGGCCUACCAAGGCGGCGACGGGUAGCCGGCCUGGGAGGGUGGACGGCCACAUUGGGACUGAGAUACGGCCCAGACUCCUACGGGAGGCAGCAGUGGGGAAUAUUGCACAAUGGGCGGAAGCCUGAUGCAGCGACGCCGCGUGGGGGAUGACGGCCUUCGGGUUGUAACCUCCUUCCGACCGCGAGGAAGCCACCUGGUUGGAAGGGUGGUGACGGUAGUGGUAGAAGAAGCACCGGCUAACUACGUG
rnacentral:rRNA from 1 species